rnacentral:lncRNA from 1 species
UGAUUUAUAAAUGUAUGGAGGAGGUGGAGGUGAUUCGUAUACAUAUGGAGGAGGUGGAGGUGACUUAUAAAUGUAUGGAGGUGGUGGUGGUGACUUGUACACAUAUGGAGGAGGUGGUGGCGACUCAUACUUAUAUGGAGGAGGUGGAGGUGACUCAUACUUAUAUGGAGGAGGUGGUGGGGACUCAUACUUAUAUGGAGGAGGUGGAGGUGACUCAUACUUAUAUGGAGGAGGUGGUGGUGACUCAUACUUAUAUGGAGGUGGUGGUGGUGACUUGUAUACAUAUGGAGGUGGAGGAGGUGAUUUGUAAACAUAUGGAGGAGGAGGUGGUGACUUAUACUUAUAUGGAGGAGGUGGAGGUGACAUGUACAUGUACGGAG